rnacentral:rRNA from 1 species
GAUGAACGCUGGCGGCGUGCCUAAUACAUGCAAGUCGAGCGAAGCGGGGACGGGUGAGUAACACGUGGAUAACCUCCUAUAAGACUGGGAUAACUUCGGGAAAACGGAGCUAAACCGAAUAAUUAUAGAUGGCUACGCGCUGCAUUCGCUAGUUGGUAAGGUAACUGCUUACCAAGGCAACGAUGCAUAGCCGAACAGAGAGGGUGAGCGGCCACCAUGGAACUGAUACACGGGCCAGAGUCCGACGGGAGGCAGCAGUAGGGAAUCUUCCGCAAUGGUCGAAAGCCUGACGGAGCAACGCCGCGUGAGUGAUGAAGGUCUUCGGAUCGUAAAACUCUGUUAUUAGGGAAGCGGUACAUAAUCAGAAAGCCACGGCUAACUACGUGCCAGCAGCCGCGGUAAUAC